rnacentral:snoRNA from 1 species
CAUCUUUUAUGAUGAGUUCAUUUAUAGUUAUCCCUGUCAGAACAAUACUGUUGAGGAACACGCACUCUGAAAAUAUU